GAUGAACGCUGGCGGCGUGCCUAAUACAUGCCAGUCGAGCGAACGGACGAGAAGCUUGCUUCUCUGAUGUUAGCGGCGGACGGGUGAGUAACACGUGGAUAACCUACCUAUAAGACUGGGAUAACUUCGGGAAACCGGAGCUAAUACCGGAUAAUAUUUUGAACCGCAUGGUUCAAAAGUGAAAGACGGUCUUGCUGUCACUUAUAGAUGGAUCCGCGCUGCAUUAGCUAGUUGGUAAGGUAACGGCUUACCAAGGCAACGAUGCAUAGCCGACCUGAGAGGGUGAUCGGCCACACUGGAACUGAGACACGGUCCAGACUCCUUCGGGAGGCAGCAGUAGGGAAUCUUCCGCAAUGGGCGAAAGCCUGACGGAGCAACGCCGCGUGAGUGAUGAAGGUCUUCGGAUCGUAAAACUCUGUUAUUAGGGAAGAACAUAUGUGUAAGUAACUGUGCACAUCUUGACGGUACCUAAUCAGAAAGCCACGGCUAACUACGUG
rnacentral:rRNA from 1 species